GAAAAAUAACGAUACGGGACUCAUCCGAGGCCCCGUAAUCGGAAUGAGUACACUUUAAAUCCUUUAACGAGUAUCCAUUGGAGGGCAAGUCUGGUGCCAGCAGCCGCGGUAAUUCCAGCUCCAAUAGCGUAUAUUAAAGUUGUUGCGGUUAAAAAGCUCGUAGUUGGACUUGUGUCCCACGCUGUCGGUUCACCGCCCGUCGGUGUCUAACUGGCAUGUCUUGGGACGUCCUGCCGGUGGCGGCGAGUCGAUGGGACGCCCGCGCUUCGGCUCCAGGGUCGUCGUGCGUCAGCGGCCCGGAGGCGGACCCCGAUUAAAUCCUACUGCGGUGCUCUUCAACGAGUGUCGAGGUGGGCCGGCACGUUUACUUUGAACAAAUUAGAGUGCUUAAAGCAGGCCGGUCGCGCCUGAAUAUUGUGUGCAUGGAAUAAUGGAAUAGGACCUCGGUUCUAUUUUGUUGGUUUUCGGAACCCGAGGUAAUGAUUAAUAGGGACAGUCGGGGGCAUUCGUAUUGCGACGUUAGAGGUGAAAUUCUUGGAUCGUCGCAAGACGAACCGAAGCGAAAGCAUUUGCCAAGUAUGUUUUCAUUAAUCAAGAACGAAAGUUAGAGGUUCGAAGGCGAUCAGAUACCGCCCUAGUUCUAACCAUAAACGAUGCCAGCUAGCGAUCCGCCGAAGUUCCUCCGAUGACUCGGCGGGCAGCUCUCGGGAAACCAAAGCUUUUGGGUUCCGGGGGAAGUAUGGUUGCAAAGCUGAAACUUAAAGGAAUUGACGGAAGGGCACCACCAGGAGUGGAGCCUGCGGCUUAAUUUGACUCAACACGGGAAAUCUCACCAGGCCCGGACACUGGAAGGAUUGACAGAUUGAGAGCUCUUUCUUGAUUCAGUGGGUGGUGGUGCAUGGCCGUUCUUAGUUGGUGGAGCGAUUUGUCUGGUUAAUUCCGAUAACGAACGAGACUCUAGCCUGCUAAAUAGUCGUAUCGGUAU
rnacentral:rRNA from 1 species